AUGAAGGGGGGCCAUUACAAGAAGGAGAGCCAUGUGCUGCUCUACAGUCAGAGAGAUAGGGUGGGAUUUCACAGGCUAGCAGCACAUGCUCUCACCACGCUGAGAGCUGAAAGAUGUAUAGUACACGUGUGUGUUUGCAGUAGAAGGCCAUGGCGUCUUGGGACUGUCGCUUUUGAGGAAAAGGCAAGACAAUAUGACGACAGAGGGGGGUCUCAGGCCACAUCCACUGCCAGAGAUGCUGUUCCACUUUUUCAAUUGUUUUUUUUUUUUUUUUCCUCUCGCCCUUUGCCCCUGGUGGGAAAGUAUUUAGGACUUUAGGUCUGUGACAAAUAAAAAUGUCAUCCCUGCUCAAGUCUGCUGUGAUUGUUUGUGGGCAAACCGGUGCUCGGAGGUCUUGAGAUGUUGCCUUACAGUGAGAGGAGAUGCUGGGAAUGGCUCCGUCCUCUUCACAUGCCACCUUUGGUCAAGCCCAAGUUCUGGAACACCGCUGGCCUUUCCUUAACAAUACCGCUCGCCGCACGGGGGUCCCAUCGAACCCAGAGCUCAAACAAAUUCACAUUGUACAGUAAAAAGCCUUUUGAAUACGACCACCAACUGACACAUCUCAUCUCAGUUUAAGGGGGGAGGAAAGAAACUGGAGAAUAGUGACUCAAAAACAAGUAACAAUGAAAACGAAAUGUAUUGAAAAUGGAACUUUGUAGAGUUGGCAUAGUGGAAAAACAGAACAAAAACAAAUUCCUAUAUUUCUUUUAACUAAAACAACUGUGCUUUUGGAAAACUUCAAUGUUUAAAAAACAUUCGCCACUAGAGAGUUCAUGGGAGGGGCACGUUUUUGUUUUGAAACAACCAAUUUUGAAAUACAGCGUAAUACAAGCUAAUCGAUUAGGCUAAAACUGUAAUGUUUUCUUGCGUUCUUUUAAUAUUUUUUAAAAAGAGCCAUGUUCACAUCUAUUUGGAAUGUUUUUGUCAGAAAACAUUCACGGAGCACAAAGCAGACUGACAUAAACAUUAGACGACAUUUGUAACUCAGUAUUAG
rnacentral:lncRNA from 12 species